rnacentral:lncRNA from 1 species
UGUUCUUUCAUGUUUGCAGGCUUGUUGGUAUCCAUUAAAGUUCUGAGGUGGCUUUGGCUUCUUAACAUGGACCCUUCCUUCCAAUUUCAUUAGAAUAUCAUCUUCUUUGGGAUUCAGGAAGUGGGUGCAUAUGAAGAAGUCACCCCCUGGCAAAAUAGGGGCACACCUAGAUGGAAGACACCAAAAUGAAGGAAGACUGGGAAAGACGUCAUGCAGAAGAUGGAAUGUGUGCUGAUCCUCCAAGGAAAAGUGGAAGCCACCAGGUGAUGGGAGGCUUGUUUCUUCAAUGAAAAGUGUUAAACAGGACACCAGAGGUCCUGAGUUCAAAUCCUACCUCCUUCACUUUCUAUAGGUCAACUCACUUAACUUCUCUCAUCUGUCUCCUAUGCCUGGAACUCUCCCUCCUCAUUCCCAUCAGUUCAGACUCCAUCAGUUCCUUCUAUAGA